GGGGAAGAGUAGCUUGCUACUUUACCUAGCGGCGGACGGGUGAGUAAUGCUUAGGAAUCUGCCUAUUAGUGGGGGACAACAUCUCGAAAGGGAUGCUAAUACCGCAUACGUCCUACGGGAGAAAGCAGGGGACCUUCGGGCCUUGCGCUAAUAGAUGAGCCUAAGUCGGAUUAGCUAGUUGGUGGGGUAAAGGCCUACCAAGGCGACGAUCUGUAGCGGGUCUGAGAGGAUGAUCCGCCACACUGGGACUGAGACACGGCCCAGACUCCUACGGGAGGCAGCAGUGGGGAAUAUUGGACAAUGGGGGGAACCCUGAUCCAGCCAUGCCGCGUGUGUGAAGAAGGCCUUUUGGUUGUAAAGCACUUUAAGCGAGGAGGAGGCUACCGAGAUUAAUACUCUUGGAUAGUGGACGUUACUCGCAGAAUAAGCACCGGCUAACUCUGUGCCAGCAGCCGCGGUAAUACAGAGGGUGCAAGCGUUAAUCGGAUUUACUGGGCGUAAAGCGCGCGUAGGUGGCCAAUUAAGUCAAAUGUGAAAUCCCCGAGCUUAACUUGGGAAUUGCAUUCGAUACUGGUUGGCUAGAGUAUGGGAGAGGAUGGUAGAAUUCCAGGUGUAGCGGUGAAAUGCGUAGAGAUCUGGAGGAAUACCGAUGGCGAAGGCAGCCAUCUGGCCUAAUACUGACACUGAGGUGCGAAAGCAUGGGGAGCAAAC
rnacentral:rRNA from 1 species